GCCCUUCUUUGGCAGCACAUGUACUAAAACGGAGAUGUUACAGGGAAGAUCAGCAGGGCCACUGUGCAAAGAUGACAUGCAAAUGUGCAAAGUGUUCUGUAUUUAA